GUGGAUUUAAAGGACAAAACAAUUGUGUUUUUUUCUAUUGGGCAUUGCCAAAGCAUGCUCCUCUCAGUUAACCUGUAUUAAUUGUUCCUAAUUUGCAAUAGUGACUUAACGUGACAGGGUGGUUCAUUUAAGAGUUGAAUGAUCAUGUAAUGUAAAUAUAUGAAUUCAAGGCAUACAGUAAAGUAACAAAAUAUAUAAUUUUUUACAUAAGCUUUUUUUCUUUCCAUAAACUGAAUGAUGUACUGCACCACUCCACAUAAUUCUUUAAAC